AUUGAACGCUGGCGGCAGGCCUAACACAUGCAAGUCGAGCGAGAAAGUACUUCGGUACGAGUAAAGCGGCGGACGGGUGAGUAACGCGUAGGAAUCUACCUGGUAGUGGGGGACAACAUGUGGAAACGCAUGCUAAUACCGCAUACGACCUAAGGGUGAAAGUGGGGGACCUUCGGGCCUCACGCUAUCGGAUGAGCCUGCGUAAGAUUAGCUAGUUGGUGAGGUAAGAGCUCACCAAGGCGACGAUCUUUAGCUGGUCUGAGAGGAUGAUCAGCCACACUGGGACUGAGACACGGCCCAGACUCCUACGGGAGGCAGCAGUGGGGAAUAUUGCGCAAUGGAGGAAACUCUGACGCAGCCAUGCCGCGUGUGUGAAGAAGGCCUUAGGGUUGUAAAGCACUUUCAAUUGGGAAGAAAGGUUGUACGUUAAUAGCGUGCAGCUGUGACAUUACCUUUAGAAGAAGCACCGGCUAACUCCGUGCCAGCAGCCGCGGUAAUACGGAGGGUGCGAGCGUUAAUCGGAAUUACUGGGCGUAAAGCGCGCGUAGGCGGUUUGUUAAGUCGGAUGUGAAAGCCCUGGGCUCAACCUGGGAACUGCAUUCGAUACUGGCAAACUAGAGUGCGAGAGAGGGAGGUAGAAUUCCAUGUGUAGCGGUGAAAUGCGUAGAUAUGUGGAGGAAUACCGGUGGCGAAGGCGGCCUCCUGGCUCGACACUGACGCUGAG
rnacentral:rRNA from 2 species